rnacentral:rRNA from 1 species
UACGGGGGUAGCAAACGUUAUCCGGAAUUAUUGGGCGUAAAGAGAUGCGUAGGCGUCUUAUUAAGUCUUGGGUGAAAGCCUGCAGCUUACCUGCAGAAUUGCCUGGGAUACUGAUAGGAUUGAGGAAAUCAGAGGAAAGCAGAAUUCACAGAGGAGAGGUAAAAUUCGUAGAUACUGUGAGGAAUACCAAUGGCGAAGGCAGCUUUCUGGGAUUUUCCUGACGCUAAGGCUCGAAAGCGUGGGGAUCAAAACGG